UUUUUUCAACGCAAUAACCUUUUUCAUGACCAUCACCCUUCACCUUCAUUUACCGUCGUCGAAGACGAUCUCCAUCUAUCAUAGCCGGAGAUGAUUUCCGACGACGUCGUUUUUUUCCUACUUUUCUUUUUUUUAUCUCCUCUUCUUUUCUUCCGCUCUCCUUCUCCGACCACUGCGCGCAAAUUUGAAUGAGAUCUAAAAUGGGAAGCAAGCCUCAAACAAUGAUCCAAAGUAGCGAAGAUUCAAACCAAAAACUAAUCGUACCAAAAAUACUUUCAUCCACGAAAACCCCCAAAUCUGAAACCUUUCAUCGACAAGCCAACCCCAGAUCUGCGACAACCAUCAAGAAAUGUAGAAUUGCUGGUUCUAACUCAUCUGUCUUCACCUAUAAAUUGAGUGCUUCUUCCCCUAAGCAAACAUGGACGACGACACCUUCGCAGAAGUUCCAAGUGGUAUGCUGGAGUAUGAUGUCAGCGACGAUGGAAAUCUCGUCAGCAUGGUCGGGAUUGAUGAGGUCCUCAAUCGGGGUUUGAGGUUGAAUGAAAAUUGUUC
rnacentral:lncRNA from 1 species